rnacentral:rRNA from 1 species
UACGGGGGGGGUAAGCGUUGUUCGGAAUUACUGGGCGUAAAGGGCUCGUAGGCGGCCAACUAAGUCGGACGUGAAAUCCCUCAGCUUAACUGGGGAACUGCGUCCGAUACUGGAUGGCUUGGAUUUGGGAGAGGGAUGCGGAAUUCCAGGUGUAGCGGUGAAAUGCGUAGAUAUCUGGAGGAACACCGGUGGCGGAAGGCGGCAUCCUGGGACCA